UGUCUGCGGCAAGAAGAAAAAAAAAAGAAGGAAUAGGGAGCUAAUUCCCUUAAACACUUAUUAUACAAAAUUUGCGAUCUACGAAGAUCCAACGGUCGGAUCUUCAAUCCGUUUUUGAAAACGUGAUCCUUGCACUCGGAUCUACGUUCUUACCGAUUGUUUUAAGGUGUUUGAGCUUAUUGGAGCUUACUUGAGGCUAGCCAAACUUCGGGUUGGAGUUUGGUGAAUUUGGCGGCACUUUGGGGGAGUGAGCCUAGGACUUGUUAGUGUUGGUGUGCAAGCAGUCGAGAUGUAGUUCCUGUGACUACAGGUACACCUGACUUUGAGGAAGACCCUGUAGCUGCGUAUUUGGGAUACUACGAUUGAAGCUCUCCGCGACAGUCGUAUUGACUUGGACUAUGGAGUUCACUCCUUUGGGGUAUUUUGUAUAUGGCUAGUGACGUAGGUGUCACAUAUUCUUU